GUGUCCGUUACCGCGCGCUUGUGCGCGCGCGCUCGCUGAGCUCGCCGAGUGUCCGCGCUCCCCCUGGUGGCGGUAGAGGUGAUCGCGCCGCCUCAGUCCCUUGCAACAGUGCGUGUCCGGAGCAGCAGGUUCUUUACUUUCAGUCCUGCCAGAUGGACCAGACUGUAGGAGCCUCCAGAUGUACAAGUAACUUCUCAAUGGAAUGUGGUCUGUAAGCACAGAGCUGACAAGAGGACAAGUCACAGAGAAGGUUGGCCACAGGAUGGUGAACUCAUUACUGGCAAUGGCUCAAGCAGCUUCAGUGCCAGCAUCAAUGCUGAGAAUCUGAACACAUGGCUGAAUGUCUGAAGACAGAGAGAGAGCCAAGACGGCAGUGGUGCUAUGGGGAUGCCAAUUGGCUGGAUAGCUUGUAAUGCUGUUACCCAGAGAUGGCACUGACAAGCCACUGGCCAGAGACAGCAAAGUGAAGCCACUGCUGAGAGAUGGCAGAAGGCCUUAAGUACAGCCACAAGGGGUAUAAGGCAAGCAGAGGGCAAAUUAUUAGUCCUCUGCAUGCUAAGUCUGCAGUAUGAUGGCAAACCAUUUUCUUAUGGUAUCUCCAACAGCUUCAGUAGCAGGGUAAAACCUGUGGGCCUGUGCACAUGAGUCAACAUUUGAAAUGGAACACAGAACCCAGAAGGGCAGUGUUGUGCCAUGUGGAUAACACUGCCUGGAUACAGUAUGGGAUGCUGCUACCCAGAGAG